AGAGAUUCAGCCAUGGAAUGAAAGGACUGGAUUCCUUAGUCUCCUAAAUUGAACCAGCUGUUGAAUUGGCUCUUUCCCUAUAAAUGGAAAAUCUUUGGCCAGAAAUGUCUCUUCUACGGUGCAUUCUACAGAAUGUUGCUGAACAUUUCAAGCCAUGCCUGCAAACCUGGUGCCUCCACUCAGAACUGACAGUGGUUGAGAAGUCCAGGUGUCUGUGGACAGAACUACUCAUUCCAAAGAAGAUGAGCUGUGUCGGGGGGCUAUUCUGGCUGUGAGGAUCACUGUACCUCUCAAAUACAUCCAGUG